CGCUGGCGGCGCGCCUAACACAUGCAAGUCGAACGAGCGAGAGAGAGCUUGCUUUCUCGAGCGAGUGGCGAACGGGUGAGUAACGCGUGAGGAACCUGCCUCAAAGAGGGGGACAACAGUUGGAAACGACUGCUAAUACCGCAUAAGCCCACAGGUCGGCAUCGACCAGAGGGAAAAGGAGCAAUCCGCUUUGAGAUGGCCUCGCGUCCGAUUAGCUAGUUGGUGAGGUAAUGGCCCACCAAGGCGACGAUCGGUAGCCGGACUGAGAGGUUGAACGGCCACAUUGGGACUGAGACACGGCCCAGACUCCUACGGGAGGCAGCAGUGGGGAAUAUUGCACAAUGGGGGAAACCCUGAUGCAGCGACGCCGCGUGGAGGAAGAAGGUCUUCGGAUUGUAAACUCCUGUUGUUGAGGAAGAUAAUGACGGUACUCAACAAGGAAGUGACGGCUAACUACGUG
rnacentral:rRNA from 1 species